UAUUAUUUCCUUCAUAAAAUAUUUCAAAAUCAAGUGGUAUGCCAUCCAUCUUCACUAGUAUAUCUCGUUUUGCAGGAUAAGGAGGAAGAAAAGUUUUGGUCUAUUGCAUUGGAAGCACCACCUCCCCGAAGAUUAAUUGCUUAUCAACCAAAAAAUUUCACCUCCAAAUUAACACUCUCACUUACAUUUCACAGCCAAUGUGAAGAAUAUAUGGUUGUGACUUUUGUGAGAGCGGCUACAGCCUGCCACAAACAGCAUGCAUUGCAAAAACGUACCCAUCAAUAGGCCACUAAUAUCCAACAUAAUAUACAUGUUGCAGCCUAGAAAUUAACAUUUUAAAAUCUAAUGACUUGCCUAGGAAACUAAUAUUAAGGUAUAGCCGGCUUUAAUCUUAAAACACAAUGACAUACCUCGAAAACUAGUUGUCCCUAUGCAGCUUUGGUUUUUCCUAUAUAAACUAAAAGUUCACUGCCUAAAAUCACAACACUAACGGUAGAGAUACGUAAGGGGAUUUAAAGAGGAAGAAUGAUGAAGUUUAGUAGCAUCAGCUUUGCUCUGAUUUUAUCAUUUCUUCUCAUUACCAUGUUUAUAGCUGAAAGUCGACCAACACCAACCGUUGCAGACCCAGUAUGUAGCAUAAUCCAUGGCGUAGAAGAAGGUGAAACUUGCUUCACCAUCACUCAAAGGUUCAUUCUUCAGGAACGCCAAUUCCUUGAGAUCAAUCCUAAUAUCAACUGUAACACUAUCUUUGUGGGCCAAUGGGUGUGUGUGAACGGCAAAGUGAAUUGAGUCGUGUCAGCAAUCCAAUAUAUAUAUAUAUA